GUCCACGCCGUAAACGAUGGAUACUAGCUGUUGGUAUUUAUCUCAGUGGCUAAGCGAAAGUGAUAAGUAUCCCACCUGGGGAGUACGUUCGCAAGAAUGAAACUCAAAGGAAUUGACGGGGCCCGCACAAGCGGUGGAGCAUGUGGUUUAAUUCGAUGAUACGCGAGGAACCUUACCAAGGCUUAAAUGUAGUUUGACAGGUUUGGAAACAGAUCUUUCUUCGGACAAAUUACAAGGUGCUGCAUGGUUGUCGU
rnacentral:rRNA from 1 species